rnacentral:rRNA from 1 species
GACGAACGCUGGCGGCGUGCUUAAUACAUGCAAGUCGAACGGAGUUACUUUAGAAGCUUGCUUUUGGAGUAACUUAGUGGCGGACGGGUGAGUAACGCGUGGGCAACCUGCCCUCUAGUCGGGGACAACAGCUCGAAAGGGCUGCUAAAACCGGAUAUGCUCACACCCGGACAUCCGGGAGUGAGAAAAAGCGAUGCUAGAGGAUGGGCCCGCGUUCCAUUAGCUAGUUGGUGAGGUAACGGCCCACCAAGGCGACGAUGGAUAGCCGACCUGAGAGGGUGAACGGACACACUGGGACUGAGACACGGCCCAGACUCCUACGGGAGGCAGCAGUAGGGAAUUUUCCGCAAUGGGCGAAAGCCUGACGGAGCAACGCCGCGUGAGGGAUGAAGGUUUUCGGAUCGUAAACCUCUGUCUAGAGGGACGAUAAUGACGGUACCUCUGGAGGAAGCCACGGCUAACUACGUGCCAGCCGCCGCCGUAAGAC